rnacentral:tRNA from 1 species
GCGGAUAUGGCGGAAUGGCAGACGCGCCAGACUUAGGAUCUGGUGUCUAAGACGUGGGGGUUCAAGUCCCUUUAUCCGCACCA